rnacentral:tRNA from 1 species
GGAGAGAUGACAGAGUGGCCGAUUGUGCUCGCCUGGAACGCGGGCGUAGGGAAACCUACCGUGGGUUCGAAUCCCACUCUCUCCGCCA